GUGGGAGGGGGCUUGCUCCCGAAAGCAGUGUUUCAGUCAGUACAACGGUGACUGAACUAUCGCUAUCGGGAGCAAGCCCCCUCCCAC
rnacentral:misc_RNA from 1 species